UAGGUAAUCUUCCGCAAUGGGCGAAAGCCUGACGGAGCAACGCCGCGUGAGUGAUGAAGGUCUUCGGAUCGUAAAACUCUGUUAUUAGGGAAGAACAAAUGUGUAAGUAACUAUGCACGUCUUGACGGUACCUAAUCAGAAAGCCACGGCUAACUACGUGCCAGCAGCCGCGGUAAUACGUAGGUGGCAAGCGUUAUCCGGAAUUAUUGGGCGUAAAGCGCGCGUAGGCGGUUUUUUAAGUCUGAUGUGAAAGCCCACGGCUCAACCGUGGAGGGUCAUUGGAAACUGGAAAACUUGAGUGCAGAAGAGGAAAGUGGAAUUCCAUGUGUAGCGGUGAAAUGCGGAGAGAUAUGGAGGAACACCAGUGGCGAAGGCGACUUUCUGGUCUGUAACUGACGCUGAUGUGCGAAAGCGUGGGGAUCAAACAGG
rnacentral:rRNA from 1 species